rnacentral:tRNA from 1 species
GCGUCGGUGGUUCAGUGGUAGAAUGCUCGCCUGCCACGCGGGCGGCGGUGUUCAGUGGUAGAAUGCUCGCCUGCCACGCGGGCGGCCCGGGUUCGAUUCCCGGCCGACGCA